rnacentral:tRNA from 2 species
GCGGAUGUAGCUCAAUUGGUAGAGCAGCGGUCUCCAAAGCCGCAAGUUGGAGGUUCGAGUCCUCCCAUCCGUG